GCGCCCAGCGGCGCCUUCUCGCCAGCGCCAUGCCGGGCCGGAACCCAGUGGGCCUCCACAUCCCGGCGGGCCGCCAGCUGGGAGCUGUUUAUUUAUGGCUGCAAAUGUGUGUGUUCAAGAGAGAGAGGGAAUUGAUCUUUGCCUGGACUUAAAGAUGGAGCCGAAGAAGCUGGAGGGAAUUUGGGCUUGUGCGUCUGGCCCAGACCCUGUGCGCCGAGCCCGAGGUCUAUCCUCCCCGCACCUCUCACCUCGCGACCUUGCAGGAAUCCGCGGGCCCGGAUGCUGCCCAGCUGACCCUCCUGCCCCGGGCCUGGCUGCAGAGAAAGUCUUCGGGCAGGAGGCCAUCCUGUUCCUGUCUUUAAAAUGAGCACAAUAAAAGGGGGCAAAUCCUCGAACGCGAACCUGAUCUCAUGUCACAGAAGCAACUUGCCAUGAAAUCCGCUAAUGCGCUGCGACUCGCCCACCAGGGCAGCGUGCGGCGGCCGAACUGCACCUGCGUUUGUGAGCCUUGUAGAAAUGGAGCCCACCGGAUUCCCUCACCCGGAGAAAUGCCCAAACUGAAACUUGACUACACUUCCCUGGGCUGGUUCACGGUUUCAUAAUCUCCCAGGUUUGCUGGCUGUGUCACCAAAUCCAAGCCAAACCUGCUAUAAACAUGAUCACAGGCCACUGACCUCGCAGCACUGACCGAUAACUCGGUGGCAAAAUCAGCUCCUCUGGUCAGAGGUUAUUAAAGCAGCGGCUGAAUUCGUGUUUGUUUUUUUGAAGUGGUCAGAAAAACGUAGUCUUCUUAAACCUACAAAAACAGUCAAACACAUUUGCAAAUGUGCUUUACUUGUAUUGGUUCGAGUGCUGGAAGCUGUCUGGCGGUGAGCUUUUUCGUUGCGUGUGGUUUAUGCAGAGCACCCGGGAUGUUUUUCUCGUCUUUUACGUCUUGGUAUCUUUUAAAAAUGUAGAAUGUGUCUCUGAUUGUUUCACAGUAUGUUCCUUAACAACCAGAUAUGUAAGAAAACGUUUGGGAUUGAGUGGUGAGAAAAGCAGACUGGAAAGUACAAAUAAACCCAAUCCAAAUGGAAAACAAAUUAAACAGAUGAAAUGAUUAUGAAAGAA
rnacentral:lncRNA from 1 species